rnacentral:siRNA from 1 species
UUGAUAGCGAUCUUAUGACA